AACGUAGGACACAAGCGUUAUCCGGAGUUACUGGGCGUUAAAGGGCGUGUAGGCGGAGGUGUAAGUCUAUUCUGAAAGCUCCUGGCUAAACUGGGAGAGGCGAAUGGAGACUGCAUAUCUAGAGUGAGGAAGAGAAAGUGGAAUUCCGCGUGUAGUGGUGAAAUGGCGUAGAUAUCAGGAGGAACACCUGUGGCGAAAGCGGCGCACUGGACCACAACUGACGCUGAGGCGCGAAAGCUAGGGGAGCAAACAGG
rnacentral:rRNA from 1 species